GAUAUACUCCCGCUGUCCGAAAUUACGUGUCAUCAAAAUGAAUAAAAAGGAUGUAUCUAGAACUAAAAUACGUCUAGAUACAUCUUCUUUUAUUCAUUUUUAUGACAACUAUUUCCAUACGGAGGGAGUACUAA
rfam:Triticum aestivum genome assembly, contig: Triticum_aestivum_CS42_TGACv1_scaffold_288541_4AL